rnacentral:rRNA from 1 species
AGAGUUUGAUCAUGGCUCAGGAUGAACGCUAGCUACAGGCUUAACACAUGCAAGUCGAGGGGAAACGACAUCGAAAGCUUGCUUUUGAUGGGCGUCGACCGGCGCACGGGUGAGUAACGCGUAUCCAACCUGCCCACCACCUGGGGAUAGCCUUGCGAAAGUAAGACUAAUACCCAAUGAUAUCUCUAGAAGACAUCUGAAAGAGAUUAAAGAUUUAUCGGUGAUGGAUGGGGAUGCGUCUGAUUAGCUUGUUGGCGGGGUAACGGGCCCACCAAGGCAACGAUCAGUAGGGGUUCUGAGAGGAAGGUCCCCCACCAUUGGAACUGAGACACGGUCCAAACUCCUACGGCAGGCAGCA